rnacentral:rRNA from 1 species
CCUACGGGAGGCAGCAGUGAGGAAUAUUGGUCAAUGGGCGCAAGCCUGAACCAGCCAUGCCGCGUGCAGGACGACGCAUCUAUGGUGUGUAAACUGCUUUUGUACGGGAAGAAACCCUGCCACGUGUGGCAGAUUGACGGUACCGUAAGAAUAAGGAUCGGCUAACUCCGUGCCAGCAGCCGCGGUAAUACGGAGGAUCCAAGCGUUAUCCGGAAUCAUUGGGUUUAAAGGGUCCGUAGGCGGUUUUAUAAGUCAGUGGUGAAAUCCGGCAGCUCAACUGUCGAACUGCCAUUGAUACUGUAGGACUUGAAUUAUUGUGAAGUAACUAGAAUAUGUAGUGUAGCGGUGAAAUGCUUAGAUAUUACAUGGAAUACCCAUUGCGAAGGCGGGUUACUAACAAUAUAUUGACGCUGAUGGACGAAAGCGUGGGGAGCGAACAGGAUUAGAUACCCUGGUAGUCCACGCCGUAAACGAUGGAUACUANCUGUUCGGUAGUGCAAAUACUGAGUGGUCGUAAGACGAAAGUAGAAGUAAAGUAAGUUACCACCCGUCGGGGUAGGGUACGGUUAACGACGUAAGUUAGUUAAACGUAACAAAUUAGAAGUUAGUUACGGCGUUGAGGACGUUAGCCGAACGGACGACCGACGAGGGGAGGUUAGGGAGG